UACGGAGGGUGCAAGCGUUGUCCGGAUUUAUUGGGUUUAAAGGGUGCGUAGGCGGCAGAUUAAGUCAGUGGUGAAAGCCUUCAGCUUAACUGAAGAACUGCCAUUGAUACUGAUGAUCUUGAGUAUGAUUGAGGUUGGCGGAAUGUGUCAUGUAGCGGUGAAAUGCUUAGAUAUGACACAGAACACCGAUUGCGAAGGCAGCUAACUAAGCCAUAACUGACGCUGAUGCACGAAAGCGUGGGGAGCAAACAGG
rnacentral:rRNA from 1 species